rnacentral:lncRNA from 1 species
GGAAGAACCACUUCAUCUCCCACCCCCCAUCAAAUGAUGCCUGUGAGACUAAGUCCGAAGGGGACUGAUAUAAAAUGCUUCUGCCCAGCAUGGUUGUGCAGUUUGUUCACUGCACAAGGGCACUUGGCCAAGGGGAUGAGUGGGAAUGAACAUCCUGCCCCUGCUCCAUGCUGAGCCACAUACAAAGUCCCCCCAGUAUAUUGUGGGGCCCUUCUGGACAGACAUGGAGAGCUUCUGAAAGUCCCACAUGCAUGGAAUUAUUUUCAAGACCCCAGGUAUGUGGUCUGUGGUGGUUCUUCUCCCUGUGAUUAUGGACUGAGAUACUCAUUUAGUUCUAAUAAGACCAGAGAAGUACAUUGUGAGAUACGUGGGAAACGGCUGCAUCACUCACUGUCUUGUGCAUGUGUCUCCCCAGGGGCAUUUUCAGAUUUCUGCCACGGAGAUGCUCUUCGCAAAGGGAGAGUCAGGAUGGACUUUUUUCAUUCAGAAAGCCGCUCUGGCUUAAAGACAUGUACAAACCUCUCAGUGCCACAAGAGUAAAGAAUCACGCAUGGAAGCUGCACAAGAAGUCAUCUAAUGAGGACAAGAUCCUCAACAGGGACCCUGGGUAAAUGACGGGACCCUCACAGUUCCCAUCUAAAAUGAGGAGGGGGUGAGACGCUUAAUUGCUCCUUUCAAGAAUGAAAACCUUGGCAUUGUUAUUCUUAUCCCAGGGACAGUGAAGCCCCAACAGAGAAGGAGGAGGAGAGUGAAGCCCUGCCAUAGGAGGAGAACCCAGCCCACCUCAGGCCUCCUGCAAAAACACAUAGCAUAAACAAUACCAUCAGAAAGAAAAGCAGGACUGAAGCCAGCAGCCCACACAUCCACAGAGGCAGCGGGCAGAGCAAGCACAGGGCCAUCGUUCCUGCCCUUGUUUCCCAGUCUAAUUAGUCACCCAGACCUGAAAACAUAUCCUCAGGGGGUGGAGAUUUUACAAUUAAAUACCAUUGUUUUUGGUGCCCUCUCCCUGGGUUCAUCAAGCACCAGUCAUAUAAUACCACAUACUUGAACUCCUGCCCACAGGGGACCUCCCAUCUCCUGGCCCCUAUUAUAGGAUCACUGGGCCUACCUGCACUGUGGGGCCAAGCCCUGUCUUUUUCCCAAGCCCUCAAGCACACGCAUGAAUGUUCAUCCCGACUUGGUAGGGGGCUUUUCACCCUUACAAGAUGGCAAAAGAUUCACACUGCUUUUUUUAAAAUUUGUUUUUCUUUUUAAAAAUCCCAACCCUUGGAUAGCAAGGGAGGUGCUGGAGGGGUAGGGUCAAGAAGAGUGUGUGAGAACAGUAAUUUCCCAAGACUGCCCUCUGCGGGACUGUAUUUCAGAAAACACACUGGUGGGGCUACCUCUCCAUUCACAUGUACUGCCCUAGCCUCUCCCCAUCCCCGGCUGAUGCACUUCCAUAUCUGCACUGUUCCAUAACAGCAGUAGCAUGUUGCAGAAAGCGCUAGGAUUCCUCCACUCCAUCUUCAAAGAAAAAGUCGCUAAUAAAUCACAUUUGGUAGGUUAGUGAACGUUAAACACAUUAGUGAGCAAAAGAAAAUAGGAAUGAACAAGAAUUGGUCAUCUACCUAACUGAACACAAAUGAACUCUGGCAGUUCGGUAAUAGGAGGUAAAGAACCGCGCUAAUUGCAGAACAGCAGCCCCCCUACCUUCCCAGGAGCAGUGUGACUGGGAAGCAGCCCCGUGUGUAUGCUGGUGCAGGUUCUAAGCAAAGUGAGCUGCCCAUCAGUUCUGAUGAGUUUGCUGAUGCUAGACAUAUGACAUCUGUUCUCUUGCUGCCUGCCCCAGUUAUCUCCCAAAGUUCUUUACUGAGAAUGAAAAGCAUCUUUCUCUGUGUGGUGACUUCAGUAGGCCAACAAAUAUUUGAGUUUAAAGCACAAGACUAAAUAGUCAUAGGCAGAGCAGUGCUACCAUUUACAAUUUGCUUACUUGAUGCUAAACCAUGGGUUAGGCAUUUUACAGUCAUAUCAUCUAGCCCAGCAAGUCAUGGAAGCAUAGUUGUUAAAAUCAUCUGAUACUUUGGGAGGCUGGGGCGGGCAGAUCACGAGGUCAGGAGAUCGAGAC